UACGGAGGGUGCAAGCGUUAUCCGGAUUCACUGGGUUUAAAGGGUGCGCAGGCGGACUGGUAAGUCAGUGGUGAAAGCCCUGGGCUCAACCCGGGAACUGCCAUUGAUACUAUCAGUCUUGAAUAUCGUUGAGGUUUGCGGAAUGGGUCAUGUAGCGGUGAAAUGCAUAGAUAUGACCCGGAACACCUAUUGCGAAGGCAGCAGGCUAAGCGAAGAUUGACGCUGAGGCUCGAAAGCGUGGGGAUCAAACAGG
rnacentral:rRNA from 1 species